UCAAAGGAAUUGACGGGGAGCACCACAACGGGUGGAGCUUGCGGUUUAAUUGGAUUCAACGCCGGAAAUCUUACCGGGACCGACAGCAAUAUGAAGGCCAGGCUGAAGACUUUGCCGGAUUAGCUGAGAGGUGGUGCAUGGCCGUCGUCAGUUCGUACUGUGAAGCAUCCUGUUAAGUCAGGCAACGAGCGAGACCCACGCCCACAGUUGCCAGCGUACUCUCCGGAGUGACGGGUACACUGUGGGACCGCCGCUGCUAAAGCGGAGGAAGGAAUGGGCAACGGUAGGUCAGUAUGCCCCGAAUAUCCCGGGCUACACGCGAGCUACAAUGGUUGGUACAAUGGGUAUCUACCCCGAAAGGGGACGGGAAUCUCCUAAAACCAAUCUUAGUUCGGAUUGAGGGCUGCAACUCGCCCUCAUGAAGCUGGAAUCCGUAGUAAUCGCGUUUCAACAGAACGCGGUGAAUACGUCCCUGCUCCUU
rnacentral:rRNA from 1 species